UACAGAGGGGGCAAGCGUUGUUCGGAAUUACUGGGCGUAAAGGGCGCGUAGGCGGCCUGUUAAGUCGAACGUGAAAUCCCUGGGCUCAACCCAGGAACUGCGUCCGAUACUGGCAGGCUUGAAUUCGGGAGAGGGAUGUGGAAUUCCAGGUGUAGCGGUGAAAUGCGUAGAUAUCUGGAGGAACACCGGUGGCGAAGGCGGCAUCCUGGACCGAUAUUGACGCUGAGGCGCGAAAGCGUGGGGAGCAAACAGG
rnacentral:rRNA from 1 species